rnacentral:rRNA from 1 species
UACGUAGGGUGCGAGCGUUAAUCGGAAUUACUGGGCGUAAAGCGUGCGUAGGCGGUCCGCAAAGUCUGAUGUGAAAGCCCCGGGCUCAACCUGGGAACUGCAUUGGAAACUAACGGGCUUGAGUGUGGCAGAGGGGGGUGGAAUUCCACGUGUAGCAGUGAAAUGCGUAGAGAUGUGGAGGAACACCGAUGGCGAAGGCAGCCCCCUGGGCUAACACUGACGCUCAGGCACGAAAGCGUGGGGAGCAAACAGG